rnacentral:lncRNA from 1 species
GCCACCCCGUUACAAAGGAAACGUUUGGCCGUUUCAGUCCAUGGCCUGAUACGGCAACACCACCGAGGGCGCUGAGAUGGAAGACACCAAAUCUCCGAUUUUUUAAACCCAUAACCACACCCAAAAAUGUUUUAAUGAAAACUCCACUGAAUUGGGUAAACUGAGAAAACUGAACGGCAGGGUUGCUCGACUGCAAUCCUACCUCGGCCGAGAAACCGAACAAUUGCUCCCUUGUUAUUUCAGCAAACAUACCUUGAGCACUAUUCUCAAACUGUGGCUUGGGAACGCGAUGUAACCGGAGCUUUGCCACUCCUGCCAUUUCAUGACGUAAACGCAACAGCCAUAUGACAAAUCGUUUCUUCCUGAUUUGACAUUCGCCACAUUCCCUGUCAGGGGAAAGGGAGGGCGGUCCGUUCACUUCCGGUCAUCUGCUCCUCCCUCCGCCGUGUGUGUGUGUGUGUCCUCCCUCCGCCUCUUAAUAUCCGCGGCCUAUUAGGAGGUCUGGUUGGGGGUCGCUCUCCCCUAGGGCAGGCGGCCGAUUGGGGGCGGCGCGAAUCGCUGUGAGGUCGUGAGGUAGAGAAUUGUUGUGGUGUGGUGGAAAGAGUAAAAAGAGUUGUUGGUUUGAAUUGCGCUAGCAAAGCCCCGCAGCGGCUGCAGCAGGAGGUGAGAAAACAGCGACAGAAGUAAACAAAUAAAAAUGGUCACGAGUGUUUCCUAAUCAGCAUCCUCCCCCAUGUGGCAAACUGCGUAUCAACCCAACCUUCCUCACUCAUCCAGCAGAUUCAUCCUCAAGCAAGCCGGUAGUACGCAACGUUUUAACAGUACCAUAUCACCAUUGUUGUUGCCCGUGAGCCAACCUUGCUAACGCCGCACUUGAUUAGCCCACUGUGGGCCCCCCUACCUCCCCCUUACCUCCCAUAUGAUUAGCAUAUCUGGGGUUGCUGGGCCGGGGCAGGGGGAGGGCGGAGUUGGCCUAGUUAAGACUGACUUAGUAUCCUAAUCAGGACAUAUGUUGCACCCGCUGAUAUUAAUCUACCUGUCUGUCUACCUACCACUAGCUGUAUUCGCGGAAUCUGGCACUUGCCUAAUCGCCUGCACACCACCUCUACCUGUCAAUAUCAUGUCUUCAGAUGAUGUCGGACGGCUGCUCCUGCGGCCCUUCCCCCGGUCGACCGGCUCGUAUAUCUGAUAUAUACCCUCGGGCCGGCGUGGCUGCAUCAUUGGUGGGGGGAUUCAUCCGCCGGCCGCAAGCUGUUUCCAACACCGGCGGGAUCGAAUUCCACUUUCCAUUCCACUUUCAUCAUCGCGCACUCGCCUGUACUCGUAACAGCAUCUACAGCAAACCCUGUCUCAGCGGGCGGCGGCGUGGAUAGCCCCCAGCCAGGUUGGGUGUGGAAUGUUACGGGGGUUAGAAUGGGGUUACUGCGCGUGAGUGUGUCCUCUCUUGAGCGUUUCGAGUCCUGUCAUCUCCAUUCGCCUUCCUUUGUCCGUUUCGUCCUUUCUCCAUCUAUUACCAGCUGCCCAACCCACUUGGCAUCUGGCCGUGUGAAAAGAAUUUGGGGCUUCUGGUGCGAGUGCUCUGAUCACGGAUUGAAGUACCUUACGAUCAGAAGUUUCUACCAAGUUUUUUGAGCGGGGAGCUUACCCGUCCGUCGGGGUAACCAGUCCGCAAACCGCGGUGUUUUAGUGUUGAUAGCUAGCAGGCAUAUGCUUUAUCUGCCUUCGGUAAAUGUUGCCUUGAUCGUAGCGGUUAGGGUCAUGCAGCUACGUACCGCGGCUUUAGCGCAAAUCCCUGCCUGGCGUUUGCUGAACACAAAGAGAAGCGCGCAAGAACUCGGCAAUUUCAUAGAGGCG